rnacentral:rRNA from 1 species
AGAGUUUGAUCCUGGCUCAGAACGAACGCUGGCGGCGUGCUUAACACAUGCAAGUCGAACGCGAAAGAUUUCUUCGGAGAUCGAGUAGAGUGGCGCACGGGUGAGUAACGCGUAAGUUAUCUACCUCGGCAUCUGGAAUAACGCACCGAAAGGUGAGCUAAUACCGGAUACGUUGAGUAAUCAAGAAAGGUGGCCUCUGCAUAUGCUACCGUGCUGAGAUGAGCUUGCGUACCAUUAGCUAGUUGGUAGGGUAAUGGCCUACCAAGGCAACGAUGGUUAGCGGGUCUGAGAGGAUGAUCCGCCACACUGGAACUGGAACACGGACCAGACUCCUACGGGAGGCAGCAGUGAGGAAUAUUGCGCAAUGGGGGCAACCCUGACGCAGCGACGCCGCGUGGAUGAUGAAGGCCUUCGGGUCGUAAAAUCCUGUCAGGUGGAAAGAAAUGCAUGGUGGCUAAUAUCCAUCAUGUUUGACGGUACCACCGAAGGAAGCACCGGCUAACUCCGUGCCAGCAGCCGCGGUAAUACGGAGGGUGCAAGCGUUGUUCGGAAUUACUGGGCGUAAAGCGCGCGCAGGCGGUCUGUUAAGUCAGAUGUGAAAGCCCAUGGCUCAACCAUGGACGUGCAUUUGAAACUGGCAGGCUUGAGUAGUGGAGGGGGUGGUGGAAUUCCCGGUGUAGAGGUGAAAUUCGUAGAUAUCGGGAGGAAUACCGGUGGCGAAGGCGACCACCUGGCCACAUACUGACGCUGAGGCGCGAAAGCGUGGGGAGCAAACAGGAUUAGAUACCCUGGUAGUCCACGCCGUAAACGAUGUCAACUAGGUGUUGGGACGGUUAAUCGUCUCAUUGCCGCAGCUAACGCAUUAAGUUGACCGCCUGGGGAGUACGGUCGCAAGAUUAAAACUCAAAGGAAUUGACGG